UAGCGGGGGGGCGAAGCGUUGUUCGGAAUUACUGGGCGUAAAGGGCUCGUAGGCGGCCAACUAAAGUCAGACGUGAAAUCCCUCGGCUUAACCGGGGAACUGCGUCUGAAUACUGGAUGGCUUGAGUUUGGGAGAGGGAUGCGGUAAUUCCAGGUGUAGCGGUAGUAAAUGCGUAGAGUAUCUGGAGGAACACCGGUGGCGAAGGCGGCAUCCUGGACCAACACUGACGCUGAGGAGGCGAAAGCCAGGGGAUGCCAAACGGG
rnacentral:rRNA from 1 species